rnacentral:rRNA from 1 species
UGGGGAAUAUUGGACAAUGGGCGGAAGCCUGAUCCAGCCAUGCCGCGUGUGUGAAGAAGGCCUUUUGGUUGUAAAGCACUUUAAGCGAGGAGGAGGCUACUUGGAUUAAUACUCUAGGAUAGUGGACGUUACUCGCAGAAUAAGCACCGGCUAACUCUGUGCCAGCAGCCGCGGUAAUACAGAGGGUGCGAGCGUUAAUCGGAUUUACUGGGCGUAAAGCGUGCGUAGGCGGCUUCUUAAGUCGGAUGUGAAAUCCCUGAGCUUAACUUAGGAAUUGCAUUCGAUACUGGGAAGCUAGAGUAUGGGAGAGGAUGGUAGAAUUCCAGGUGUAGCGGUGAAAUGCGUAGAGAUCUGGAGGAAUACCGAUGGCGAAGGCAGCCAUCUGGCCUAAUACUGACGCUGAGGUACGAAAGCAUGUGGAGCAAACAGG